GUACACACCGCCCGUCACACCAUGGGAGUGGGUUGCACCAGAAGCGGUAGCUAACCGCCGGGAGGGAGCCGACCACGGUGAUUCGUGACUGGGGUGAAGUCGUAACAAGGUAGCCGUAGGUGAACCUGCAGAAGGAUCA
rnacentral:rRNA from 1 species